CGGGAGCAAUCCCUUUAGUGAAAGUGCUGCUAAUACCUGAUGAUGUCGUCGAGUCGCAUGGCUCUGACGACCAAAGGUGGGGAUCUUCGGACCUGCCGAUCUGGGAGCGGCCCAUGUCCUAUCAGCUUGUUGGUGAGGUAACGGCUCACCAAGGCUGCGACGGGUGGCGGGCGUGAGAGCGUGACCCGCCUCAUCGGGACUGAGACACUGCCCGG
rnacentral:rRNA from 1 species